UACGAAGGGGGCUAGCGUUGCUCGGAAUCACUGGGCGUAAAGGGUGCGUAGGCGGGUCUUUAAGUCAGGGGUGAAAUCCUGGAGCUCAACUCCAGAACUGCCUUUGAUACUGAGGAUCUUGAGUUCGGGAGAGGUGAGUGGAACUGCGAGUGUAGAGGUGAAAUUCGUAGAUAUUCGCAAGAACACCAGUGGCGAAGGCGGACUCACUGGCCCGAUACUGACGCUGAGGCACGAAAGCGUGGGAG
rnacentral:rRNA from 1 species